AUAUGUACGUAUAUAUAUUUAAUAUAUUUUAUUUGAUUUUUAUUUUUGAGAGCGACGACGCGUGCGUUGCCCUUCGCAGUUUGACAGUGACUGGAGUUGGUUAUUUGUUGCUGGCGCUGCUCGUGUUGGAUGUUGGGCGUUUGGUGUUGGGUCAGCGGAAGCGACGACGCGCUCGGUUUGGCAUCUGAAAGCAGAAGACGAGACGAGACGAGAAAUAAAAUCGACUUUUUUCAAUAAAACAUAUGCGAAUUCGCCAUCAAAUAAUGCCGUUAUUAAUUCCCAUGAAAAUUCAUCAAUAUUAUUGAUUUCGUACAGAAUUUAUCGCCUGUCCGAGCGCAAAACUCAACAAAUCGUGAAAAUCGAACAUGAAACAAAUU